rnacentral:rRNA from 1 species
AGUGAACGCUGGCGGUAGGCCUAACACAUGCAAGUCGAACGGCAGCACAGUAAGAGCUUGCUCUUACGGGUGGCGAGUGGCGGACGGGUGAGGAAUACAUCGGAAUCUACUUUUUCGUGGGGGAUAACGUAGGGAAACUUACGCUAAUACCGCAUACGACCUACGGGUGAAAGCAGGGGAUCUUCGGACCUUGCGCGAUUGAAUGAGCCGAUGUCGGAUUAGCUAGUUGGCGGGGUAAAGGCCCACCAAGGCGACGAUCCGUAGCUGGUCUGAGAGGAUGAUCCGCCACACUGGAACUGAGACACGGUCCAGACUCCUACGGGAGGCAGCAGUGGGGAAUAUUGGACACUGGGCGCAAGCCUGAUCCAGCCAUACCGCGUGGGUGAAGAAAGCCUUCGGGUUGUAAAGCCCUUUUGUUGGGAAAGAAAAGCAGCAGGUUAAUACCCCGCUGUUCUGACGGUACCCAAAGAAUAAGCACCGGCUAACUUCGU